rnacentral:rRNA from 1 species
ACUGCUCAGUAACACGUGGACAACCUACCCUAUGGAGGGGGAUAACCCCGGGAAACUGGGGAUAAUACCCCAUAGGCUAUGGAAGCUGGAAUGCUCUGUAGUCGAAAGGUCCGCCGCCAUAGGAUGGGUCUGCGGCCGAUUAGGUUGUUGUUGGGGUAACGGCCCAACAAGCCUGUAAUCGGUACGGGUUGUGGGAGCAAGAGCCCGGAGAUGGAUUCUGAGACACGAAUCCAGGCCCUACGGGGCGCAGCAGGCGCGAAAACUUUACAAUGCGGGAAACCGUGAUAGGGGAACUCUGAGUGCCCGUAAAAUCGGGCUGUCCAUCAGUUUAAAUAACUGGUGAAGAAAGGGCCGGGCAAGACCGGUGCCAGCCGCCGCGGUAAUACCGGCGGCUCGAGUGGUGGCCACUAUUACUGGGCUUAAAGCGUUCGUAGCUGGCUUGUUAAGUCUCUGGGGAAAUCUUCCGGCUCAACCGGAAGGCGUCUCAGGGAUACUGGCAGGCUAGGGACCGGGAGAGGUGAGAGGUACUCCAGGGGUAGGAGUGAAAUCCUGUAAUCCUUGGGGGACCACCUGUGGCGAAGGCGUCUCACCAGAACGGCUCCGACAGUGAGGGACGAAAGCUGGGGGAGCAAACCGGAUUAGAUACCCGGGUAGUCCCAGCUGUAAACGAUGCACGUUAGGUGUAUCGGUGACCACGAGUCACCGAGGUGCCGAAGAGAAAUCGUGAAACGUGCCGCCUGGGAAGUACGGUCGCAAGGCUGAAACUUAAAGGAAUUGGCGGGGGAG